UUGUUAAUCAUUUUCUUUUUCCCUGCAAAGACUUGAGAACGUACGCAAGAGUCACACUUUGUGAUUUAGGCUUAGAGGGAAGAUUGAGUAUUAGACUUAUUCGGCUGAGGUUGGAACAAAGCCAAACAAAUUCGGCUGAUAUGGAACGAAACCAAAUACAAAUUCGCCUGAGGGUGGAACUGCUAAUCGACUGAGGUUGGUAUUUGUAUAUUUUUCAAUUUCUACUUUUUUCCCUUAAUUAUAUUGGGUUCUGGGUUGUCAGCUUAAGUUCUGCAUAUGAUAUAUAUAUAUAUAUAUAUAUAUUAUUUUCCGGUCCUUCAUUCUAUUCUGUGUUGCACUGCCGAGACGGCCUGGCUUUAAGGAAGCUUGGCUUUACAAUGAGUUUGUAUUUCUGCUUUCUUCGUCAUAUACACUGAGUUUUAGGAUUACUGAUCGAUAUCUUAACCUAAUCUUAAGUGAAGACGUGAGGAUGCUUUGCUUUGAGGUGCUACAUUAGUUCAGAAAAUAUUUAUAGGUAACUAUAAAUGUAUCCCUAAGCUUUGAAGUGACAAUGAAGGAUAUAGAUAGGACGUUCAUAUGCAUAUUUGUAUUAAAUCUGAGAAUUGGAUUUAUUUGAUUCAAGUGGUUAUUAUCUAUGUACUUCUUGCCUUUAGUACUUCUUGCCUUUAUUAUCUAUGUCUCUUUUUCCUUCCCAACUAAUUUCUUUUACCUUCGUAUUUGAAUUAGAUGUUUUAUCAAGUGUUUAAUAACUAUGUACUUCUUACCUUUAGUAAUACGAGAAUUAAACUGAUAUGACAGGUAUACAUUUCCCUUUUUCCUACAACUAAUUUCUUAUCAUUCGUUUUUUAAUCUUUAUUGCUAUGUUAAAAGAUUAAUAUAACGAGGACAAAGAUCAAUUGAGGAAACAACCAAUGAGAUACUCGCAACAAGUACAAAGUUCAGCCCAAAGAUGUGCACACUAUCAUAUACGAAGGAAUUUGAAAAUAAAACGUAUGGAGCAUGGGUUUGCAGCUAUAGCUUUUUAAAAUACUCAAUCAACUUCUUCUUCUUUUUUUCAGUUUUGGGUUUUUAAUUUUUAUUUUCAAUGGAGCUGCCCCUUUAACUUCGAU
rnacentral:lncRNA from 1 species